rnacentral:rRNA from 1 species
GACGAACGCUGGCGGCGUGCUUAACACAUGCAAGUCGAACGGAAAGGCCCUGCUUUUGUGGGGUGCUCGAGUGGCGAACGGGUGAGUAACACGUGAGUAACCUGCCCUUGACUUUGGGAUAACUUCAGGGAACUGGGGCUAAUACCGGAUAGGAGCUCCUGCUGCAUGGUGGGGGUUGGAAAGUUUCGGCGGUUGGGGAUAGUCUCGCGGCUUAUGCGCUUGUUGGUGAGGUAGUGGCUUACCAAGGCUUUGACGGGUAGGCCGCCUGAGAGGGUUACCGGCGACAUGGGGACUGAGAUACGGCCCAGAAGCCUACCGGAGGCAGCAGUGGGGAAUAUUGCACAAUGGGCGGAAGCCUGAGGCAGCAACGUCGCGUGCGGGAUGACGGCCUUCGGGGUGUAAACAGAUUUGGACGGUGCCGUGGCGUUCUUGACGGUAAUGGGUAAAGAAGCACCGGCUAACUACGUG